CCAGGCCGAGGCCGAUAGCAUACACUGAAGAGAAAGGAGGGAUGAAAAAUGGAGCAGGAGGGAGGCGUCAACCACAUCAGUAAACUUUCUGGACCGGUUGGACUAUGAUGUCAUGCUUUCCCUGCUCAGCUGCCAUUGGCCAACCUGGGCGCAGCAUCUGCUGGCUGGAUCCCAGCAACCUUGAGGAUCGGAGCGAAGGGAACUAUGGAAAGGCGCAUCAGAUGGUCAAUAGCGGCACAUGCAAGCAAGAAGGAGGCCCUGUGUCGCCUGGGAAUUUUAAUCCAAAGGUUAAAGGAGCUCUCCAAGGUACUGAGCCCUCCCUGCCAAAUGGAAACAAGACCUUGGAAAACUCUCUUGAAUGUGCUGUCGAACGCUUUCAUGGACGGAGGAGCCACCGGUGGAGUAGUGGGUUAAAGCCUCGUGACUUGAAGGUUGGGCUGCUGAUCUGCAAGCUGCCACGUUCAAAUCCCACCCGGGGAGAGCGCGGAUGAGCUCUCUCUAUCAGCUCCAGCUCCAUGCGGGGACAUGAGAGAAGCCUCCCACAAGGAUGGUAAAACAACAAAAAAUCCGGAUGUCCCCUGGGCAACAUCCUUGCAGACGGCCAAUUCUCUCACUCCAGAAGCGACUUGCAGUUUCCCAAGUCGCUCCUGACAUGAAAAUAAAAUGGCUGGAAUCUGUCAGGGAUUCCUCUUCUUCAGAAGAGAAAGGGGAGCAGGAAAUGUUCAUGAAUCUGAGGGUGAGUUGGAGUCUGAGGAGAAGACUUUGCUAGUACAGUAGAGUCUCACUUAUCCAAGCUAAAUGGGCCAGCAGAAGCUUGGAUAAGCAAAUAUCUUGGAUAAUAAGAAGGGAUUAAGGAAAAGCCUAUUAAACAUCAAAUUAGGUUAUGAUUUUACAAAUUAAGCACCAAAACAUCAUGUUUAACAACAAAUUUGACAGAAAAAGUAGUUCAAUACGCAGUAAUGUUAUGUUGUAAUUACUGUAUUUAUGAAUUUAGCACCAAAAUAUCCCGAUAUAUUGAAAACAUUGACUACAAAAAUGGCUUGGAUAAUCCAGAGGCUUGGAUAAGCGAGGCUUGGAUAAGUGAGAUUCUACUGGACCCUCAUUCCAGGAGAGGCGAAAGGAAACAGAGCAGAGACGUCGUUCAGCUAGAUUAGCUGUCAGAAAUGCAGCUGAGUAAUUAGUAACUGCCCUAGCAGCUGGGAGGAGACCCAGGGCUAUAAAAGCAGAAGCAGGUGCAGCCCGCUCUUGCUGGUAACAAACUGACUUUACUGCCUUUACUCUCGUUGUGCCUACUCCAAGUCUGCAUCUGGAUUUAUGCCUGUUUCUUUGUCUGAAGUAAGACUUCCUGGCUUUCUUUUGCAUUAUUUCACUGAGUGUGCUGUACUUUAUAUUUUACUGAAGUAAGGUAAAGGUAAAGGUUUCCCCUGAUGUUAAGUCCAGUCAUGACUGACUCUGGGGGUUGGUGCGCAUCCCCAUUUCUAAGCCGAAGAGCCGGCAUUGUCCGUAGACACCUCCAAGGUCAUGUGGCCACUGGCAUGACUGCAUGGAGCGCCGUUACCUUCCCGCCGGAGCAGUACCUAUUGAUCUACUCACAUUUGCAUGUUUUUGAACUGCUAGGUUGGCAGGAGCUGGGGCUAACAGCGGGCACUCAUUCCGCUCCCGGGAUUUGAACCUGGGACCUUUUGGUCCCCAAGUUCAGCAGCUCAGCGCUUUAACCCACUGUGCCACCAGGGGCCCCCUUUGCUGAAGUAAAGCAGUUUUCAUUUACUUACCACAGUGUCUUAAGGCUGUUCUUGAAAGACAAAACAGGACAGAAUCACUGGGUUGUUGUGCAUUUUUCACGCUGUAUGGCCAUGUUCCAGAAGCAUUUUCUCCUGAAUCAAUCAGAGGCAGCUAACACCUCCGAACAAAGGAUUCCCCAGGCAGGAAUGAAGCUUGCAAGGCCAUUAAUGAUAAUCAAGGUGAUUAAUUACAACAUUCACACUGGUCUCCAACAGACAAGUAUCCUUUUUCCCACCCUGGACCUUCCACAGAUAUAUAAACUUCCCUUGCUUAGUUUUCCAAUAUACUUCACAACCUCGAGGAUGCCUGCCAUAGAUGUGGGCGAAACAUCAGGAGGGAAUGCUUCUAGAACAUGGCCAUACAGUCCAGAAAAUGCACAACAACACAAACUCCCUUGAAGUUUGUAUUACUGUGGCCCUUUAUCCAAGGACUACUGUUCCCAGUAUAGUUAUGAAGGAGGGAAAGAUGGAAACAAGAGGAAAAGGAAAGAAAGGAAAGGAAAAAGCAAAAGAAGAAGAGGAGGAGGAGAAAAGGGAAGGGGGGGAAAGAGAAGAGAAAAAAGAGAAGAAGAGGAGGGGGGGGGAGAAAGGAGAAUCCUAGAAUGCUAGAGUUGGAAGAGACCACAUGGGCCAUCCAGUCCAAACCCAUUCUGCCGAGAACCAGGAAAAUUGUAUUCAAAGCACCCCUGAUAGAUGGACAUCCAGCCUCUAUAUCAAAGCCUCCAAAGAAGGGGCCUUCACCAUACUCUAGGCCAGUGGUUCUCAACCUGUGGGUCCCCAGGUGUUUUGACCUACAACUCCCAGAAAUCCCAGCCAGUUUAUCAGCAGUUGGGAUUUCUGGGAUUGAAGGCCAAAACAUCUGGGGACCCACAGAGUGAGAACCACUGCUCUAGGGCAGAGAGUUCCACUGCUGAACAGCUCUCAGAGUGAGGAAGUUUUUCCUAAUGUUCAGGUGGAAUCUCCUUUCCUGUUGUUUGAAGCCAUUGUUCCGUGUCGAAGCAGGAAAUAAGUUUGCUCCCUCCUCCCUAUGACUUCCCCUCACAUCUUGAUCCAUGGCCCUCAUCAUGUCUCCUCUCAGCCUCCCCUUCUGAAGACUAAACAUGCCCAGCUCUUUAAGCCACUCCUCAUAGGGCUUGUUCUUCAGACCCUUGCUCAAUAUAGUCACCCUCCUCUGGGCACAUUCCAGCUUAGGGUCAACAUCUCCCUUCAACUGAGGUGCCCAGAAUGGGACACUAUAGAUGUAGGAGAAACGUCAGGAGAGAAUACUUCUGGAACAUGGCCAUACAGCAUGGAAAACUCACAGCAACUCUAACAGAUAGUUUUGCUUCCCAGUUGCAGAAAUAGGAUUUUACGCAUUACAUAUUCAUUUUUAAAAAGGUAUUACUGUAUAUACUUGAGUAUAAGCCGACCCGAAUAUAAGCCAAGGCACCUAAUUUUAAUUAAAAAAAAAAACUGGGAAAACACUGACUCCAGUAUAAGCCGAGAGUGGUAAAUUUCAGAAAUAAAAAUAGAUACCAAUGAAAUUACAUUAAUUGAGGCAUCACUAGGUUAAAUGUUUUUGAAUAUUUGCAUCAAGCUCUAAUUUAAGAUAAGACUGUCCAACUCUGAUCCAAUCAUUAUUCUCAUCUUCUUCAAUGUAAAUGUGCUUAUGUAUCCUUUUAAUAAUAAUAGAGUAAAAUAAUACAUGUAACAAUAAUAAUAAUAAUAAAUACAGGAAAAUAAUACAAGUAAUAAUAAAUAGAGUAAAAUAAUAAAUGCAAUAAUAAUAAUAUUAAUAAUAAUAAUAUCAGAGUGAAAUAAUAAAUGUAUUAAUAAUAAUAAUAAAGAGUAAAAUAAAUGUAAUAGUAGCAACAAUAAUUGAGAAAAAUAAUAAAAGUAAUAAUACCAAUAAUAAUAGAGAAAAAUAAUAAAUGUACCAUAUAUUCUCGAGUAUAAGCUGACCCAAAUAUAAGCCAACCAGGACCUUCACCCAAGUAUAAGCCGAGGGGGGCUUUUUCAGUCUUAAAAAAAGGGCUGAAAAACUAGGCUUAUACAGUACUUAUUCUUUGUUUAUAGUUCACCUUUAUCUCCUGCUCUUGCUGCGGGGCCUUCAAGGGGCUGCACAUGGCUCCAUUCCUACCUACAGCAUCCUCACAAGGACAACCCUUUGAGGGAAGAGAAAGUGAGAGAAAGAGCUGUAAUGCUGCUAGGCACUCCAUAUUUUCCAACAUUUCCGAUUGCAACUGGCUUGGUUUUGCCAUUGUGAUGUGCCUUCAAUACGCCUGGUUAUUUAGGGUAAACGCAUGAAUUCUGUUGAAUUUUCUGAGGAUUUAGCCCUUUUAUUCUCAUUACUUUUAAUGGAAAGGGUGGAAGGCAGGAUGUUGCUAACAAUCCCUGCCAAGUACAAUGCAUCCUUCAGAUGAUGUAAGUUAUCAUUUUGGGAAGGGAAAGUUCUGGUUUCCACAGCAAUAACAAAGAGGGAGGUUCCCGGCUGCCACUUUGGGUGCAGACUUCAUUUCAACCAAGGUUUGUACAGGUAAACAUCUGAGUCGACGCUGCCUAGUAUUACAUGAAUAUUCCAAUGACAUAUAAGAAUGCAUUACUGUACUGAAAUACUUCUGGAUUCUGGAUGAAUGGAUUCUAAUCUGGGACAUGCUUAAAAUUUUAUAUAAUGUGAUUUUAUUUUGCAAUGGUAUUUGUUUUAUAUGAAUUGUUGUUUUGUAGAUUUUUUUAUAUGAAUUGUUGUUUUUACAUUGUUUUUAGGCAUUGAAUUUUUGCCUAUUUAUUGUAAGCUGCUUUGAGUCCCCUCGGGGAGAAAGGCGGGGUAAAAGUGAUGUAAAUAAAUAAAUAAAUAAAUAAAUAAAUACAAAUUGGUUGGAAAUAAUACAGAUUUGUUGCAGUACAUGUUCCAAAACUGGCAUUGAUUAAAGGCACGACAAUAAUACAGCAA